AGAGAGAGAGAGAAAGAAUGAGAGAGAGAGAGAUAGAGAGAAGAAAAUGGUAGAUCUCUAUGGAGGAUUGUGUGGGUCGGUAAAUCCAUUUGGCGAGCUCGUGUCCAAGCUGACAAGAACGGAAAGGAAUAGAUAGAUACUGUAGACCUAUCGUUCUAGUUCGAACGUUCGAAACUUCGCUCGUUAUCCUCGAUGUAUGUAUGACGCCUACAAUAUGGAAGGUAUAUGAGCACCUAGCUAGAUAUAUAUAUAUAUAUAUAUAUAUAUAUAUAUAUAUGCAUAGGAGGAGGAACACGACGAAUGCAGUUGCAUCGUGCAUCGUCGAUGUUCCCCUGUAACAGGAGUUUGUUCUCGGCGAACGUCAUCGAAUCGAAAUAAUGUCAAGGACGAACCAUGGUAACCAAUCGUUACCAACGAACAAAUUUGUAAACCGUUCUCGUUCAUGCAGAAAAUGCGCAUUCUCUUCUGGAUAAUAAAAGAAAUAAUAUAUACGUAUGUACAUACAUACAUACAUACAUACAU